CAGGUGAAGGCAAUUCAGCUGUGUGACCAGAAGGGAUGGAGCCUGGCUGCACCUCUCUUAGACCCCAUUUAAAGGCUGACUGCCACUAGGGAAGGUUCUCUUCCUGGAGAUCCCUUCUUGGUGAAGCUUUCUCUUGUGAACCUAGAAUCUUCUGAUGCAGGGGAGCAGACUUGCCCUUGUGGUCUGGAAGGUCAGGCAUGUGCUGGCUGCCUGUUGAUGGGGAUGAGAGCUGAGCAGCAGGCUGGAGGAGGAGCUGCUUCACACUGUGCCAUGUCCACCUGCCCUGAGAACUGCAAUAUCUCUGGGUUAGCCUUCUAAUGAGCACGAAACUACCUCAGCAAGUCCAUGACCUACAAACGACCGGCAGUCAUCCCAGAAGCGGUGGUGCUGAACCACAUCACAAGUUAUUCUCCUUUUCCAACAACUUGUGGACCAGCGGGAAUAAGCAGAGCACUUCUUCCCCAUAAUCCUUAGCAUCCAGUCUGGAGGCAAGCAGUCUCCAAAGGGUCCAAGGUUUCAGUGCUUUCAUCUUGAGGCAACGCAGAGCUACUUAAGAACGGCAUCUCUGUCUGACACAUUUAAUUCAUUUGAAGGGUUUAAUGCAAUUUCCUGGCAUCAUUUCAAAGCAUAUUCUUUAAUUUAAUAACACGAUAAUAUUAAGAGGAAUAUAAUAAUGUAUUCUUAGUGCUGUAACUCUAUUGUGCAGAUUGGUGGGAAGACCUUCUCUCAGGUCAUUUUUAUUAUAUUUAAUAGCAGUCAUGGGUCUCAAAAGCUCAUGCUCACUGUAUAAAAUUAAAGCUAUA